CUACGGGAGGCAGCAGUGGGGAAUAUUGGACAAUGGGGGAAACCCUGAUCCAGCAAUGCCGCGUGAGUGAAGACGGCCUUAGGGUUGUAAAACUCUUUCGCUAGGGAAGAUAAUGACUGUACCUAGUAAAGAAGUCCCGGCUAACUCCGUGCCAGCAGCCGCGGUAAUACGGAGGGGACUAGCGUUGUUCGGAAUUACUGGGCGUAAAGAGUUCGUAGGCGGACUGACAAGUUAGAGGUGAAAUCCCAGGGCUCAACCCUGGAACUACCUUUAAAACUGUCAGUCUAGAGACCGGAAGAGGUUAGGGGAAUACCUAGUGUAGAGGUGAAAUUCGUAGAUAUUAGGUGGAACACCAGUGGCGAAGGCGCCUAACUGGUCCGGUACUGACGCUGAGGAACGAAAGCGUGGGGAGCAAACAGGAUUAGAUACCCCCGUAGUC
rnacentral:rRNA from 1 species